rnacentral:snRNA from 1 species
GUAACAUCGGCAUACACUAUUAAUCAAAGAGAAAAUUAGCAUAGCCCCUGCACAAGAAUGGCAUGCAAAUCGUGAAGCGUUCCAAAAUUUC